rnacentral:rRNA from 1 species
UUAAGCGACUAAGCGUACACGGUGGAUGCCCUGGCAGUCAGAGGCGAUGAAGGACGUGCUAAUCUGCGAAAAGCGUCGGUAAGGUGAUAUGAACCGUUACAGCCGGCGAUGUCCGAAUGGGGAAACCCAGUGUGAUUCGUCACACUAUCGUUAACUGAAUACAUAGGUUAACGAGGCGAACCGGGGGAACUGAAACAUCUAAGUACCCCGAGGAAAAGAAAUCAACCGAGAUUCCCCCAGUAGCGGCGAGCGAACGGGGAGCAGCCCAGAGUCUGAAUCAGCUUGUGUGUUAGUGGAACGGUCUGGAAAGUCCGACGGUACAGGGUGAUAGUCCCGUACACCAAAAUGCACAGGCUGUGAACUCGAAGAGUAGGGCGGGACACGUGGUAUCCUGUCUGAAUAUGGGGGGACCAUCCUCCAAGGCUAAAUACUCCUGACUGACCGAUAGUGAACCAGUACCGUGAGGGAAAGGCGAAAAGAACCCCGGCGAGGGGAGUGAAAAAGAACCUGAAACCGUGUACGUACAAGCAGUGGGAGCACCUUCGGGUGUGACUGCGUACCUUUUGUAUAAUGGGUCAGCGACUUAUAUUCUGUAGCAAGGUUAACCGUAUAGGGAGCCGCAGGAAACCGAGUCUUAACUGGGCGUUAAGUUGCAGGGUAUAGACCCGAAACCCGGUGAUCUAGCCAUGGGCAGGUUGAAGGUUGGGUAACACUAACUGGAGGACCGAACCGACUAAUGUUGAAAAAUUAGCGGAUGACUUGUGGCUGGGGGUGAAAGGCCAAUCAAACCGGGAGAUAGCUGGUUCUCCCCGAAAGCUAUUUAGGUAGCGCCUCGUGAAUUCAUCUUCGGGGGUAGAGCACUGUUUCGGCUAGGGGGUCAUCCCGACUUACCAACCCGAUGCAAACUACGAAUACCGAAGAAUGUUAUCACGGGAGACACACGGCGGGUGCUAACGUCCGUCGUGAAGAGGAAACAACCCAGACCGCCAGCUAAGGUCCCAAAGUCAUGGUUAAGUGGGAAACGAUGUGGGAAGGCACAGACAGCCAGGAUGUUGGCUUAGAAGCAGCCAUCAUUUAAAGAAAGCGUAAUAGCUCACUGGUCGAGUCGGCCUGCGCGGAAGAUGUAACGGGGCUAAACCAUGCACCGAAGCUGCGGCAGCGACACUAUGUGUUGUUGGGUAGGGGAGCGUUCUGUAAGCCUGCGAAGGUGACCUGUGAGGGUUGCUGGAGGUAUCAGAAGUGCGAAUGCUGACAUAAGUAACGAUAAAGCGGGUGAAAAGCCCGCUCGCCGGAAGACCAAGGGUUCCUGUCCAACGUUAAUCGGGGCAGGGUGAGUCGACCCCUAAGGCGAGGCCGAAAGGCGUAGUCGAUGGGAAACAGGUUAAUAUUCCUGUACUUGGUGUUACUGCGAAGGGGGGACGGAGAAGGCUAUGUUAGCCGGGCGACGGUUGUCCCGGUUUAAGCAUGUAGGCUGGUUAUCCAGGCAAAUCCGGAUAAUCAAGGCUGAGGUGUGAUGACGAGGCACUACGGUGCUGAAGUAACAAAUGCCCUGCUUCCAGGAAAAGCCUCUAAGCAUCAGGUAACAUUAAAUCGUACCCCAAACCGACACAGGUGGUCAGGUAGAGAAUACCAAGGCGCUUGAGAGAACUCGGGUGAAGGAACUAGGCAAAAUGGUGCCGUAACUUCGGGAGAAGGCACGCUGGUGUGUAGGUGAAGUCCCUGCGGAUGGAGCUGAGACCAGUCGAAGAUACCAGCUGGCUGCAACUGUUUAUUAAAAACACAGCACUGUGCAAACACGAAAGUGGACGUAUACGGUGUGACGCCUGCCCGGUGCCGGAAGGUUAAUUGAUGGGGUUAUCCGUAAGGAGAAGCUCUUGAUCGAAGCCCCCGGUAAACGGCGGCCGUAACUAUAACGGUCCUAAGGUAGCGAAAUUCCUUGUCGGGUAAGUUCCGACCUGCACGAAUGGCGUAAUGAUGGCCAGGCUGUCUCCACCCGAGACUCAGUGAAAUUGAACUCGCUGUGAAGAUGCAGUGUACCCGCGGCAAGACGGAAAGACCCCGUGAACCUUUACUAUAGCUUGACACUGAACAUUGAGCCUUGAUGUGUAGGAUAGGUGGGAGGCUUUGAAGCGUGGACGCCAGUCUGCGUGGAGCCGACCUUGAAAUACCACCCUUUAAUGUUUGAUGUUCUAACGUUGGCCCCUUUACCGGGGUUGCGGACAGUGUCUGGUGGGUAGUUUGACUGGGGCGGUCUCCUCCCAAAGCGUAACGGAGGAGCACGAAGGUUAGCUAAUCCUGGUCGGACAUCAGGAGGUUAGUGCAAUGGCAUAAGCUAGCUUGACUGCGAGCGUGACGGCGCGAGCAGGUGCGAAAGCAGGUCAUAGUGAUCCGGUGGUUCUGAAUGGAAGGGCCAUCGCUCAACGGAUAAAAGGUACUCCGGGGAUAACAGGCUGAUACCGCCCAAGAGUUCAUAUCGACGGCGGUGUUUGGCACCUCGAUGUCGGCUCAUCACAUCCUGGGGCUGAAGUAGGUCCCAAGGGUAUGGCUGUUCGCCAUUUAAAGUGGUACGCGAGCUGGGUUUAGAACGUCGUGAGACAGUUCGGUCCCUAUCUGCCGUGGGCGCUGGAGAAUUGAGGGGGGCUGCUCCUAGUACGAGAGGACCGGAGUGGACGCAUCACUGGUGUUCGGGUUGUCAUGCCAAUGGCACUGCCCGGUAGCUAAAUGCGGAAGAGAUAAGUGCUGAAAGCAUCUAAGCACGAAACUUGCCCCGAGAUGAGUUCUCCCUGAGACUUUAAGUCUCCUGAAGGAACGUUGAAGACGACGACGUUGAUAGGCCGGGUGUGUAAGCGCAGCGAUGCGUUGAGCUAACCGGUACUAAUGAACCGUGAGGCUUAACCU